GCAUCCAUGGCUAAAUGGCUAAAGCAUUCAACUCACAAUUAACGAAUUUGUAAGUUCAAUUUUUAUUGGAUGCA
rfam:Gossypium hirsutum cultivar TM-1 chromosome 13, whole genome shotgun sequence